GAUGAACGCUGGCGGCGUGCCUAAUACAUGCAAGUCGAGCGAACAGACGAGGAGCUUGCUCCUCUGAUGUUAGCGGCGGACGGGUGAGUAACACGUGGAUAACCUACCUAUAAGACUGGGAUAACUUCGGGAAACCGGAGCUAAUACCGGAUAAAAUGUUGAACCGCAUGGUUCAACAGUGAAAGACGGUCUUGCUGUCACUUAUAGAUGGAUCCGCGCCGCAUUAUCUAGUUGGUAAGGUAACGGCUUACCAAGGCAACGAUGCGUAGCCGACCUGAGAGGGUGAUCGGCCACACUGGAACUGAGACACGGUCCAGACUCCUACGGGAGGCAGCAGUAGGGAAUCUUCCGCAAUGGGCGAAAGCCUGACGGAGCAACGCCGCGUGAGUGAAGAAGGUCUUCGGAUCGUAAAACUCUGUUAUUAGGGAAGAACAAAUGUGUAAGUAACUAUGCACGUCUUGACGGUACCUAAUCAGAAAGCCACGGCUAACUACGUG
rnacentral:rRNA from 1 species